CCUACGGGGAGCUGCAGUGGGGAAUAUUGGACAAUGGGGGCAACCCUGAUCCAGCCAUGCCGCGUGUGUGAAGAAGGCCCUCGGGUUGUAAAGCACUUUCAGUGAGGAAGAACGCCUGGUGGUUAAUACCCAUCAGGAAAGACAUCACUCACAGAAGAAGCACCGGCUAACUCCGUGCCAGCAGCCGCGGUAAUACGGAGGGUGCGAGCGUUAAUCGGAAUUACUGGGCGUAAAGCGCGCGUAGGUGGCUUGAUAAGCCGGUUGUGAAAGCCCCGGGCUCAACCUGGGAACGGCAUCCGGAACUGUCAAGCUAGAGUGCAGGAGAGGACGGUAGAAGUCCCGGUGUAGCGGUGAAAUGCGUAGAGAUCGGGAGGAAUACCAGUGGCGAAGGCGGCCUUCUGGACUGACACUGACACUGAGGUGCGAAAGCGUGGGUAGCAAACAGGAUUAGAUACCCUGGUAGUC
rnacentral:rRNA from 1 species